rnacentral:rRNA from 1 species
AUGCAAGGCACGGCCGGACUGCCGCUGCCGCUGCUGGUAUUGGUAGUGGUACUGGUGGUGGCGCUUCUGCAUGCGGCACGCGGAGCUGGAGCGGCGGUCGGCGGAGGAUGCGAUCGGAGAUGCGGGGGCAUGGAGCUGCCGUACCCGUUCGGCUUCUCCAGCGGCUGCACGAUACGGCUCGGAUGCGACGCCGGCAUCGGCGCCGCGUGGCUCGGGGGCGCGGGCGAGCUGGGACUGCUCGUGCGCAACGUCACGCCGCGCUCGAUCAUCCUCGACCUGCAACCCGACUGCUCCCGCCGUUUCAAUACGUCCGUCGCGGCGCUCUUCUCGGACAGCUACGCUCCCUCCUCCGGGAACAGCCUCAUCGUUAGCUCGUGCGACGACCGUGCUAAUAUCAACAGCUGCAGCAGCGGACCGGCUGAGCGUUUCCUAGACAGAAACUCGUCCCACUGCAGCGCCAACGGAUCCAUCAGAUGCAUCGAGCCCGCGCCUUCUAACAGAGGCGCCGCACACCAUAUUCUGGAUAAAAGCGAGCUGCUCCUCUCGGACUGCAACGGGCUGGUGUCGUCGAUAAGCUACAGCGAUACAAUAAUGGGGCCAGCACUGAUGCUGGGCGCGCUGCAGCUCGACUGGUGGGUGCCGGGGCGGUGCCGUUGCUCAGUCACAGAAAAUUGCACCCAGUUCACCGCGCCGACCACGGGUCAGGAGGCGUUCCGGUGCGAAUGCCCGGAUGGGUUCGAGGGCGACGGCUUCAUCGACGGCACCGGUUGCCAGUCGACAGGCACAGCGUCCAGCCGCCAACAACGAGGGCCGUUCGGGGUCUUCGCCGCGGUUACCGCCAUCGCCGUGGUGCUACUUGUUCUCAGCAUAUCGGCUUGCUUCAUCUUCCGCCGCUGCCGAAGGCGCAAUACCAUGACGAAAACCAAACAACCGCUGAAAGCGGUGGCUGCACUCUUCCGCGGCGAACUCGUGGACGAUGAGCUCCACCAAGGAGCUGCCGGACCCCGGCGAUUUUCCUAUGACGACCUCGCUGCUGCAACUGAUAACUUCUCCGACGACAGGGCGCUCGGGAGGGGAGGAUUUGGGUCAGUUUACCAAGGGUUCCUCAGCGACAUGAACCGUGAAGUGGCCGUCAAGAGGGUGUCCGAGACCUCUCGACAAGGAUGGAAGGAGUUCGUCUCUGAGCUCAUUGGCUGGUGCCAUGGCGGCGGCGGCGAGCUUCUCCUCGUGUACGAUUUGAUGCAUAAUGACAGCCUUGACACCCAUCUCUACAGACAAGACUCGGUGCUCAUGUGGCCGACCAGGUACGAGAUAGUGCUCGGAGUAGGUUCUGCACUUCUGUACUUGCAUCAAGACACGGAGCAGAGAGUAGUUCACAGGGACAUCAAACCAAGCAACAUCAUGCUAGACGCUUACUUCACUGCCAAGCUCGGCGACUUCGGGCUCGCAAGGCUCAUCAACGAUGGCCGGAGAUCGCACACGACCGGCAUAGCCGGCACCAUGGGUUACAUGGAUCCGGAGUGCGUGCUAGCUGGCAGGGCGAGCGUCGAGUCGGACAUGUACAGCUGGGUGGUCCUCCUCGAGGUGGCCUGUGGACGGCGACCAGCUCUGGUCCAGGACGACGGCGACGUGAUCCACCUAGUGCAGUGGGUGUGGGACUUGUAUGGCAGAGGAAAGACCCUCUCAGCCGCCGAUGCGCGACUCAAGGAGGAGUUCGAUGGCCUGGAGAUGGAGCGUGUGAUGGUUGUGGGGUUGUGGUGUGCGCACCCUCACCGUGGCAUGCGGCCGUCCAUCAGACAAGCCAUGAACGUGUUGCGGUUUGGAGCGUCAUUGCCUGCCCUCCCGGCACGUUGGGCCACCAACUAUUCCUUUGAGCUCCGGAACGUUGGUCACGAGCAGCGUCAGUGGCCGAUGAUAUGUCAGGACACGGCCUGGAUUUAUCCUUCCUUUUUUGCCGCUUGA